CACCGACAGGAUCAAAGGAGACUUCUGGUGGCUUUGGGGACAAUGAGAAACACAGACAUGGUACCCGUGAGCCUUUUGAAUUCUCUUUCUCCGUGUUUCUGAGGGAGGGCCUCAGAUUUUAUUAUUUAUUUGUCAGAGAGAGAGAGCGUGCACAAGCAGGGGGAACAGCAGAGGAAGAAGCGGGCUUCCUGCACAGCAAGGACCCUGAUGCAGGGCUUGAUCCCAGGUCUCUGGGAUCAUGACCUGAGCCAAAGGUAGAUACUUAACUGACUGAGUCACCCAGGCUUCCCAGUCUCCACAAUCUUUUGACUCCUCAACAUUUUAAAGUUUUGCUAAGGUACGUGAUGAGUUCAAUCAAACUCACUGAAUAUCUAGACCAUCUCAAAACAAAAUAACAUGUGCUACAUUGGAAAAUUUACUAUGAAGAACAUAAUACUUUUAGGAAUAUGAAACAUAUUCAUAAGAUUGCCAGUAACAGCCCAUUCACAAUUGUUUAAAGCUACAAGAAAUAAUACAGUUCUCUGUACGAAACGAAAGCAGCAUGUGCAUUUUCGGGAAGAAAAGGUAUGAGGAGUGGAAAUGCAUUUUUGUUGAGGGAAAAGAAAGUAAUUUUGUCCUACAAGUAAGGCUGGUUAUUUGGAAUGGGAAAAACAGGACGAGAUCUGACUGUAAAAAACAAGGUGGCAGAUGGUGUGUACAAAAGGAAUCUUGGGAAAAGGAUUUUAUGUGUGGUCAAGAUAGCUAAGAUUGGAAUGGAUAUGCAUUUUAAAAAAUGAAUUAAUGAAUGUUAAUCCCCAAAGUGCACAGGUACAAAAUGAAAAUUGGUUUCCUCUCUGUUAAAAGGAUGGAGUUUUCUAAGCCUAUAGGUCUGCCGCUGAUAAGAGAUUGUACAGGGUUUCCUUUACCUUCAAGUGAUCUGCCUGGAAAUGAAAGAUUUUGUCCUCUCAAAAUAAUUUCCCGUGUCUCAUAUCAGAUCUCUGGUUACUUAAGAAAACCCAGACUUCUCUGUUAGGAAAGCUUGGGGCUUGUUUUUGUUUUAGGACUCCUUAACUCUCAGUAAAUCUCUGCAGACCCUGUAAUCGUCAUUAUGGGUAAGCAGAUAACCAAAUUAUGCUUCACAACGACCUAUGAUCUUAUUUGAUCAAGUUUUUAAAAACUUCUUUAUAUCUUCGGGGGUGCCUGGGUGGCUCGGUUGGUUAAAUGUCUGAUUGUUUCGGCUCAGGUCAUGACCUCAGGGUCCCGGAGACCGAGCCCCACAUCAGGCUCUGCGCUCAGCGUGGAGUCUGCUUACAAACCUCUCUCCCCCUGCCUCUCCCCCUCUAAAAAAAAAAACCACCAAAAAGCCCCCCAAACCCUUUGAUAUCUUCUACAAAUUCUGGGUCCCCCUUCCCCCUUAAUAUAAUUCUAAAAGAAGUCUUUUUUUAAAAGAUUUUAUUUAUUUAUUUGACAGACAGAGAUCAGAAGUAGGCAGAGAGGCAGGCAGAGAGAGAGAAAGGGAAGCAGGCUUCCAGUUGAGCAGAGAGCCCGAUGUGGGGCUUAAUCCCAGGACCUUGGGAUCAUCCUGAACCGAAGGCAGAGGCUUAACCCACUGAGCCACCCUGGCGGCCCUGUCCACAGCCAUUUUUAAGUCUUUUGUCAUUUACAGAUGGUUCAGUUUUACUGUGAUGCUUUUGCAAACAUGUUUCAGCUUUGAGGAGAUUCAGUAUAGAUUUCUAAUAACUUUAAGACCAUAAAACUGAAAUGGGUAAAAAAAUUUCAGAACUAAAAGGGAAACUGGAUUCAAACAGAAUAUGUAUUAAUGACAUGGGACAGAAUAACCAAGGAGUAUGAUUAUUUUUUAUGACUUUUUAUCUGAAACAUUGCUGGUUCCUUAAUAUUUUGUUUUUCCAUAUUUAAGGAAACCUUUUCUCUUCAACUGUAUGAUUUGCAGCAAUUCAGUAAAGUAUACUUUUGUAGACAAAGAUGAAACAUGUACUUUUUUCUCCUACCUGAUCCCCUCCCGAAUUCAGAAACUCUUGAGUGUUCUUUUCAUGGCUCUAUAGUUAGUUAUUUGCCUAAAUUCUAUGAGAAUCUGUUCUCGUAAUAAGACACAAUUGGAAGCACUAGUUAUAUUACCAAGGUUUUGACUGAUAGGAAUUCACCUGAACUAUAGGCAUAUCAGGUAGAAUUUAAUGGUGAGUCUUUGGCUUGGCUUCCUGCCUGAGAGUCUUUAAAAAGUUCAAUCUGAGAUCCCUUAUGAAAAAUUUCAGCAGUUGUUGGGCAUCUGCCUUCAGCUCAAGUCAUGAUCGCAGGGUCCUGGGAUGGAGGCCCCCGUGGGGCUCCCUGCUCAGCAGGAAGCCUGCUUCUCUCUCUCCCACUCCCCCUUGCUUGAGUUCCCUCUCUCAGUGUCUGUCUCUCUGUCAAAUAAAUAAGUAAAAUCUUUAAAAAAAAAAAAAAAAAAGAAAAAUUUCGGCAAAGCAGUCUUAAUACGGGCUUGAAUGGUCAACCACUAUUCUUACUGCACCUACAUAAAUAAUCAGGUCAACUUAAUGCAAACAGAUUAGUUUAACUGUGAUUAUAUUUGGCAAAUAGGGGUAAUGGUAGAGGGAAAAAUUGUGUUUGCUCUUUGUAGAUCUUGGAUUCUGAACCUGUUUAUUGUCUUUGACAUCUUGUUAAAUGCCUGUAAACAGAAUUAGGUCCUCAGUUCUUCUACUUUCUUCAAAUAUAUGACUAUGACUUUCCAAA